rnacentral:rRNA from 1 species
GUUCGCUUGUUUCCGUCGUCCUCGGGACGUUAAGGCGCUCUGGUCGAGGAUAAACGACCCCUCUGACCGAGGCUAAUCUGUCGCUCCUCUGUGUUACCCCUCCGGGGGCACACGUUAAAGAACGUUCCGCAUUGUGAGUCUCUCUCGGUUGUCAAACGAUCGUUUACAACCGGUAGCGAUGGAUCCCUUGGCACGUCAUUCGAUGAAGACCGUUGCAAAUUGCGAUAAAGUGAUGUGAUGCGCAAGUCCACCACUUAUACGUGAAUCAUCGAGUUGUUGAACGCACUGCACCGCGCCCUAAACCGGCUGCGGUAUGCCCCUUUGAGCGUCAUUGUAACCCUUCGGGAGUCUUGCUUUGUCGAGACCCGAGUUCGGAGUCCUCGGUCCUCUGGGAUCGUGUUCUCUCAGAUGCGUCGCGCCGAUCGCCUUUGAUGGGUUCUCUAAUGCCUGAGCGUGGAGUCCCUCAAGCCGAGACGCGCUCGACCGGGCGUUGGCCCGCGUCGGCAAGUCCGGAGACGAGUCCGCUCGUGCCCGUGAACUACAACGCAUGACCUCAUUGGGGUAGGACAACCCGCUAGACUUAAGCAUAUUAAUCAGCGGAGGAAAAGAAACUAACCAGGAUUCCCUCAGUAACUGCGAGUGAAGCGGGAUCGGC